GACGAACGCUGGCGGCGUGCCUAAUACAUGCAAGUCGAACGAACCGCGACUAGGUGCUUGCACUUGGUCAAGGUGAGUGGCGAACGGGUGAGUAACACGUGGGUAACCUACCUCAUAGUGGGGGAUAACAGUCGGAAACGACUGCUAAUACCGCAUAGGACAUAGGAUCACAUGAUCCAGUGAGGAAAGGUGGCGCAAGCUAUCGCUAAGAGAUGGACCCGCGGUGCAUUAGCUAGUUGGUAGGGUAAAGGCCUACCAAGGCGAUGAUGCAUAGCCGACCUGAGAGGGUGAUCGGCCACAUUGGGACUGAGACACGGCCCAAACUCCUACGGGAGGCAGCAGUAGGGAAUCUUCCGCAAAGGACGCAAGUCUGACGGAGCAACGCCGCGUGAGUGAAGAAGGUCUUCGGAUCGUAAAGCUCUGUUGUUAGAGAAGAACAGCGCAUAGAGUAACUGUUAUGCGUGUGACGGUAGCUAACCAGAAAGCCACGGCUAACUACGUG
rnacentral:rRNA from 1 species